UACGGAGGGGGCUAGCGUUAUUCGGAAUUACUGGGCGUAAAGAGCGCGUAGGCGGUUUAUCAAGUUAGAAGUGAAAUCCCGGGGCUUAACCUCGGAACUGCUUUUAAAACUGAUAGGCUAGAGAACGAUAGAGGAUGGUGGAAUUCCUAGUGUAGAGGUGAAAUUCGUAGAUAUUCGGAAGAACACCAGUGGCGAAGGCGACUUACUGGACACAUAUUGACGCUGAGGUGCGAAAGCGUGGGGAGCAAACAGG
rnacentral:rRNA from 1 species